UACGUAGGGUGCGAGCGUUAAUCGGAAUUACUGGGCGUAAAGCGUGCGCAGGCGGUUCGUUGUGUCGGUGGUGAAAGCCCGGGCUUAACCUGGGAAUGGCCUGGAAACUGGCGAACUGGGAGUGUGGCAGAGGGGGUGGAAUUCCGCGUGUAGCAGUGAAAUGCGUAGAGAUGCGGAGGAACACCGAUGGCGAAGGCAGCCCCUGGGCUAACACUGACGCUCAGGCACGAAAGCGUGGGGAGCAAAACAGG
rnacentral:rRNA from 1 species